UCGGGACGGGGUCGGGAGGUAACGCGUGGGUAACCCGCCCCAUACAGGGGGAGUAACAGUUGGAAACGGCUGCUAAUACCGCAUAAGCGCACGAGAGGACAUCCUCUUGUGUGAAAAACUCCGGUGGUACAGGAUGGGCCCGCGUCUGAUUAGCUGGUUGGCAGGGUAACGGCCUACCAAGGCGACGAUCAGUAGCCGGUCUGAGAGGAUGAACGGCCACAUUGGAACUGAGACACGGUCCAA
rnacentral:rRNA from 1 species